GGGGAAUCUUGGACAAUGGGCGCAAGCCUGAUCCAGCCAUGCCGCGUGAGUGAUGAAGGCCUUAGGGUCGUAAAGCUCUUUCGCUGGGGAUGAUAAUGACAGUACCCAGUAAAGAAACCCCGGCUAACUCCGUGCCAGCAGCCGCGGUAAUACGGAGGGGGUUAGCGUUGUUCGGAAUUACUGGGCGUAAAGCGCGCGUAGGCGGAUUGGAAAGUUGGGGGUGAAAUCCCGGGGCUCAACCUCGGAACUGCCUCCAAAACUAUCAGUCUAGAGUUCGAGAGAGGUGAGUGGAAUUCCGAGUGUAGAGGUGAAAUUCGUAGAUAUUCGGAGGAACACCAGUGGCGAAGGCGGCUCACUGGCUCGAUACUGACGCUGAGGUGCGAAAGUGUGGGGAGCAAACAGG
rnacentral:rRNA from 1 species